UAGGGAAUCUUCGGCAAUGGACGGAAGUCUGACCGAGCAACGCCGCGUGAGUGAAGAAGGUUUUCGGAUCGUAAAGCUCUGUUGUAAGAGAAGAACGAGUGUGAGAGUGGAAAGUUUACACUGUGACGGUAUCUUACCAGAAAGGGACGGCUAACUACGUGCCAGCAGCCGCGGUAAUACGUAGGCCCCGAGCGUUGUCCGGAUUUAUUGGGCGUAAAGCGAGCGCAGGCGGUUAGAUAAGUCUGAAGUUAAAGGCUGUGGCUUAACCAUAGUAGGCUUUGGAAACUGUUUAACUUGAGUGCAAGAGGGGAGAGUGGAAUUCCAUGUGUAGCGGUGAAAUGCGUAGAUAUAUGGAGGAACACCGGUGGCGAAAGCGGCUCUCUGGCUUGUAACUGACGCUGAGGCUCGAAAGCGUGGGGAGCAAACAGGAUUAGAUACCCUGGUAGUCCACGCUGUAAACGAUGAGUGCUAGGUGUUAGACCCUUUCCGGGGUUUAGUGCCGUAGCUAACGCAUUAAGCACUCCGCCUGGGGAGUACGACCGCAAGGUUG
rnacentral:rRNA from 1 species